GUUCCUGUAGCUCAAUGGAUAUAUAAUUGGACUUCUGAUCCAAAGGUCGUGGAUUCGAAUACCACCUGGAAUG